CGCCGGUUGAAAGCGCGUGUCUGCGUCGGGUUCUGUUGGAGUGCGUUCGGUGCGCCGUGGGUCCGCGCUGCUUCCACCCAACUUCCUGUUAGUUUCUCUCCUGUCACAAUGGCAUGAUCUCGGCUCACUGCGACCUCUGCUUCCUGGGUUCAAGGAUUCUCCUGCCUCAGCCUCCCAAGUAGCUGGGAUUACAGGUUACAUUAGUUAUACACUCUGGAGGUGACUUGACCUGUCAUUGUGAACAAUUAUUGCUCUUGGACGACCCAGGACAUAGGCCAGCCAGUACGUACCCCAGUGUGUUGGAGAAUCGCGCUCGGCUUCUUCCUCUGUGCUGAGUCAUGAAAGUUGCCGGAGCAGGUGCAGUUACACAACCUCCAGAUGACCGCCGUGUGGUAAACUGAUGAACCCCGACCCUGAUGAACGUGAGAUGACCGCCGUGUGGUAAACUGAUGAACCCCGACCCUGAUGAACGUGAGAUGACCGCCGUGUGGUAAACUGAUGAACCCCGACCCUGAUCAACGUGAGAUGACCGCCGUGUGGUAAACUGAUGAACCCCGACCCUGAUGAACAUGAGAUGACCGCCGUGUGGUAAACUGAUGAACCCCGACCCUGAUCAACAUGAGAUGACCGCCGUGUGGUAAACUGAUGAACCCCGACCCUGAUCAACAUGAGAUGACUGCCGUGUGGUAAACUGAUGAACCCUGACCCAUUAGGCUUUGGCUACAGAAUGUGGAAAUAAGUUGUGUUACUACAUGUGUGUAAUCCUAGGGUGCAGGACACCGGCCGGGAGGUUCCAUAGAGUGAUGGGUUCUGCAGGUAACUCAUCCUCUAGUCCUCUGUAAGCUCCUAGAAGGAAGAAAUUAUGUCCUUUAGACUAAUAAAAUUCCUCCAAACCAAAUACAGCACCUACUGUGAAGACACAAAGAUACUUUUAGAAUAGUAAAAACUUUAUCCAUUGAGAAAUUCCUUAAUGAAACAGUAUCCAAGAAGUCAUUUGCCAGCAGAUUUCUUAGAGGUGCGAUAAAGAAGAGGACAUUGCCAGUCGUCACAGCAGCUGCAAUAGCUCCUCUCUAUUGUUAAACAGUGGGAUAUCUUGUGCAGGUUUUCAGUUGACAAUCAAUUUUAAAGAUUAGUUUCGGUCCCCAUCAAUCAAUUAUUUAUU
rnacentral:lncRNA from 1 species